rfam:Erinaceus europaeus unplaced genomic scaffold scaffold00687, whole genome shotgun sequence
GGAUGUGAGGGCAAUCUGGCUGCCACAUCUGUCACCCCAUUUAUUGUCAGGGUUGAUUCAGCUGAUCUGGCUGGCUAGGUGUGAGUCCCCUUCCUCCCUCACUGCUCCAUGUGCAUCCCUCCUGAAGCUGUGUGCUCCUUCGAAGAGGACUGCCUUCCCUGAAUACAGACCAACUGGUCUUCAGUCAAGGGUAUAGGAGUAGCUGCACUUCCCUGCUAGAGCCUCCAAACAAGCUCUCGAGAAGGUAUACUACUGAGAGCUCAAAAGCACUUGACUUAGCAAGAUAUUGUCCAGUGGUUAUUUCAUAGCUUCU